GAGGCGUUCUCUUUUCCGGCCUGGUAGUUGUGCAGUUAUGGAAGUAGAGAAUAUAGGUACAGAUGAAUGCGAACAUGAUCGCGGUGGGCGAAUUGGUUGUGUCGUUAAUGUGUUUGCAAUAUAUACACUGUAUAAUUUGAAUGGGAAACUACGUAGCUAGCUAGUUAUGUGUGAAACUGCAAUGAAUUUGUCAGUUUCCCGAGUAAGCUGACCAAUCGUCAUGGAGUCGGCGUGAUGAGUCAACUUGGCUGUAACGUUAUUUUCUGAUCACUUUUGGAUCUUAACUGAUGUCUGACGUCUCCGAAACAAAAGAUCGCAGUCAAGACAUUGCAUAGGUGAUCCGGAUAUCCAUUCAAGAGGUGAUCCGGAUAUCCGUUCAAGGAUGUCUGACCUCAGAAGGAAUUUUCUUCAGCUGACUUUCCUCUGCCUACGUUUCCACUGUGGGCAUCUGUAAAUGGACUGUAUGCAAAUUCAUUAAAUUUGUUAAUUAUCUGCAACAA